CUGGCCAAGGUUCAUUCUGUGCUUUGCCUGAGACCACAGCCAGUAAAGCCAGUGUGUACCGUGGAAAGAGUUUUCCACUUCCAUUGGAGAAGCCUUUUGUGAGCAUUCGGCAGCUUCUUUGGUGACCAGCUACAUCGUUUGGCAGCAGGCUCAAGUGCUCAAAACAGCACAGAGCAAGGAGCAUGCUGAACAGUGAUGUUCCAGUUUAAAAAGACAGAGCUGCAAACAAAGGUAGGCUUUUAUUUUGGAUAAUAUCCUUUCAACUGCACAAAAUCUCGUGUCCGACCACAUGCCAUUCACUGCUGCCAUGCUCACACAGUGCUGGGCGUGUGUCCUCACUCUUUUAUUCUUGAAUC
rnacentral:lncRNA from 1 species